rnacentral:rRNA from 1 species
AGCAGCCGCGGUAAUUCCAGCUCCAAUAGCGUAUAUUAAAGUUGUUGCAGUUAAAAAGCUCGUAGUUGAACUUCAGGCCUGGCUGGACGGUCCGCCCUCUGGGUGAGCACUGUCUGUGGUCGGGUCCUACCUUCUGGCGAAGCGGCAUGGCCUUAACCGGCCGUGGCGGGGAACCAGGACUUUUACUGUGAAAAAAUUAGAGUGUUCAAAGCAGGCACGCGCUUGAAUACAUUAGCAUGGAAUAAUGGAAUAGGACAAUGGUUCUAUUUGUUGGUUUCUAGGACCGUUGUAAUGAUUAAUAGGGAUAGUUGGGGGCAUUAGUAUUCAAUUGUCAGAGGUGAAAUUCUUGGAUUUAUUGAAGACUAACUACUGCGAAAGCAUUUGCCAAGGAUGUUUUCAUUAAUCAAGAACGAAAGUUAGGGAUCGAAGACGAUCAGAUACCGUCGUAGUCUUAACCAUAAACUAUGCCGAUAGGGAUCGGAUGAUGUUAAUUUUUAAUGUACUCAUUCGGCGCCUUAAC